GAUGAACGCUGGCGGCGUGCCUAAUACAUGCAAGUCGAACGAAACUUCUUUAUCACCGAGUGCUUGCACUCACCGAUAAAGAGUUGAGUGGCGAACGGGUGAGUAACACGUGGGCAACCUGCCCAAAAGAGGGGGAUAACACGUGGAAACAGGUGCUAAUACCGCAUAACCAUAGUUACCGCAUGGUAACUAUGUAAAAGGUGGCUAUACUACCGCUUUUGGAUGGGCCCGCGGCGCAUUAGCUAGUUGGUAGGGUAAAGGCUUACCAAGGCAAUGAUGCGUAGCCGAAUUGAGAGGUUGAUCGGCCACAUUGGGACUGAGACACGGCCCAAACUCCUACGGGAGGCAGCAGUAGGGAAUCUUCCACAAUGGGCGAAAGCCUGAUGGAGCAACGCCGCGUGGGUGAAGAAGGUCUUCGGAUCGUAAAACCCUGUUGUUAGAGAAGAAAGUGCGUGAGAGUAACUGUUCACGUUUCGACGGUAUCUAACCAGAAAGCCACUGCUAACUACGUG
rnacentral:rRNA from 1 species